rnacentral:rRNA from 1 species
CCUGUUCCCAUACCGAACACAGAAGUUAAGCCCUUCAGCGCUGAUGGUACUUGGUGGGUAACUGCCUGGGAGAGUAGGUCGUUGCUGGUU